CAGUAGCCACGGUAAUACGUAUGUCACAAGCGUUAUCCGGAUCUAUUGGGCGUAAAGCGCGUCUAGGUGGUUAUGUAAGUCUGAUGUGAAAAUGCAGGGCUCAACUCUGUAUUGCGUUGGAACCUGUGUAACUAGAGUACUGGAGAGGUAAGCGGAACUACAAGUGUAGAGGUGAAAUUCGUAGAUAUUUGUAGGAAUGCCGAUGGGGAAGCCAGCUUACUGGACAGAUACUGACGCUGAAGCGCGAAAGCGUGGGUAGCAAACAGGAUUAGAUACCCGCGUAGUCCCUGUCUCUUAUACA
rnacentral:rRNA from 1 species